UUAAGUUCAGCGGGUAGUCUCACCCGAUUUGAGGUCAAGGUUUUCUUUUUGUGGGUCCAGCCUCCCGCCAAUGUAGAUGGCGGUGACCGGAGCACCAUCAUUUGUCCAUGAGACGGUUAGGAGCAGGCGUCCAAAAGACAGUGCUAAAUCCAAAACGUAGAAACAUCUUAUCACGUCAAGGAUCGGCAAAGCGGACCCCA
rnacentral:misc_RNA from 1 species